rnacentral:rRNA from 1 species
AACGAACGCUGGCGGCAGGCUUAACACAUGCAAGUCGAGCGCAUCCUUCGGGGUGAGCGGCAGACGGGUGAGUAACGCGUGGGAACGUACCCUUUCCUACGGAAUAGCUCCGGGAAACUGGAAUUAAUACCGUAUAAGCCCUUAGGGGGAAAGAUUUAUCGGGGAAGGAUCGGCCCGCGUUGGAUUAGCUAGUUGGUGGGGUAACGGCCUACCAAGGCGACGAUCCAUAGCUGGUCUGAGAGGAUGAUCAGCCACAUUGGGACUGAGACACGGCCCAAACUCCUACGGGAGGCAGCAGUGGGGAAUAUUGGACAAUGGGCGCAAGCCUGAUCCAGCCAUGCCGCGUGAGUGAUGAAGGCGUUAGGGUUGUAAAGCUCUUUCAGUAGGGAAGAUAAUGACGGUACCUACAGAAGAAGCCCCGGCUAACUUCGUGCCAGCCGCCGCCGUAA